rnacentral:rRNA from 1 species
UAUCCCGGCCAUAGAGGCACGGUUCACCCGGACCCAUUUCGAACCCGGAAGUUAAGCCGUGCCUCGUUGGCCCGAGUACUGCUCUCAUAUGGAGCGGGAAAGGGCCAAGCCGGGUAUU